rnacentral:lncRNA from 1 species
UUUAUCUUACCUAAGAUUAAGAAUCAGAUACAGAUCUCUGGUAGUCAUCCUCCCCUCCCUCAUGGUUAUUAACUAAGUAAUUGGAAGCCUAAAAUACCUGUCCGUAAAUCUUACAGAAAGAGUGGAUUAUUCUAGAACAUCAGUUUUUAGCUACUAGUUAGCAAAAUUGAAAAACAAAAUAGCCAGGGAAAACACAUAUGUUCAAAAGUUCUAGUAGUGAAUCUGAGGUGAUUUGAACUGCAACUGAUGUCCUCCUGUCUUUGUUGUAGACUAUUAUUCCAGCUACUUUUUAAAGAUAUACUCAUUCAAGUGUAAUUAAAUUUUAAGUAUGAACUAAUCUAAUGUUGGUUGUCUUAAACCUACAUACAUUGUAAACUUUCUUUAUUUGUAUAUGUUCAAAUUGAAUUUAGUUAUUCUUUAUCACUCCAUUUUCAAGUAAUGGAAAUGUAGUUAUAAACUGGGAACAUUGCAUAAUACUCAGAGAUAACAUAACUUUUAAAUUAUGCCAUAUUUAUCUAUGUACUAAUGGGCACAGUGAAAUAAAUCUCUAGUAAAUCCUUUUUUCCCUAA